UAAAUUGAGAGUUUGAUCCUGGCUCAGGACGAACGCUGGCGGCGUGCUUAACACAUGCAAGUCGAACGGGAUUUAGUAAACAGAAGCCUCGGUGGAAGAUUACUAAUGAGAGUGGCGAACGGGUGAGUAACGCGUGAGCAACCUGCCUAUGACAGUGGGAUAGCCUCGGGAAACCGGG
rnacentral:rRNA from 1 species